rnacentral:rRNA from 1 species
UACGUAGGGUGCAAGCGUUGUCCGGAAUUAUUGGGCGUAAAGAGCUCGUAGGCGGUCUGUCGCGUCUGCUGUGAAAACUCGGGGCUUAACCCCGGGCCUGCAGUGGGUACGGGCAGACUAGAGUGCGGUAGGGGAGACUGGAAUUCCUGGUGUAGCGGUGAAAUGCGCAGAUAUCGGGAGGAACACCUAUGGCGAAGGCAGCUCGCUGGGACGUUACUGACGCUGAGGCGCGAAAGCGUGGGGAGCAAACAGG